UAAGGAAUAUUGCUCAAUGGGAGAAAUCCUGAAGCAGCAACGCCGCGUGGAGGAUGAAGGGUCUAUGACUUGUAAACUCCUGUAAAGAAGGAAAAAAUUCCCAUUAGAUGGGAGAUGAUGGUACUUCUGGAGUAAGCCCCGGCUAACUACGUGCCAGCAGCCGCGGUAAUACGUAGGGGGCAAGCGUUGUCCGGAUUUACUGGGUGUAAAGGGUGCUCAGGCGGAUUUGUAAGUCAGAGGUGAAAUCUUACAGCUUAACUGUGAAACGGCCUUUGAUACUGCAAGCCUAGAGUAUGGAAGAGAGUGAUGGAAUAUCUGGUGUAGCAGUGAAAUGCGUAGAUAUCAGAUAGAACACCGAUGGCGAAGGCAGUCACUUGGUCCAUUACUGACGCUAAAGCACGAAAGCGUGGGUAGCAAACA
rnacentral:rRNA from 1 species